AGCAGCCGCGGUAAUUCCAGCUCCAAUAGCGUAUAUUAAAGUUGUUGCAGUUAAAAAGCUCGUAGUUGAAUUUCGGGGUCAGUAGGUUGGUCAUGCCACUGGUAUGUACUGGUCUCACUGAUUCCUCCUUCCUGAUGAACUGUAAUGCCAUUAAUUUGGUGUUGCAGGGAAUCUGGACUGUUACUUUGAAAAAAUUAGAGUGUUUAAAGCAGGCUAACGCCUGAAUACAUUAGCAUGGAAUAAUGAAAUAGGACGUUCGAUCCUAUUUUGUGGUUUCUAGGAUUGACGUAAUGAUUAAUAGGGAUAGUUGGGGGCAUUAGUAUUCAAUUGUCAGAGGUGAAAUCCUUGGAUUUAUUGAAGACUAACUACUGCGAAAGCAUUUGCCAA
rnacentral:rRNA from 1 species